rnacentral:piRNA from 1 species
UCACAGGUUUGAAUGAUGCCAGCUCAGGGU